rnacentral:rRNA from 1 species
GACAGAGGGUGCAAACGUUGUUCGGAAUUACUGGGCGUAAAGCGCGUGUAGGCGGCUUCGCAAGUCGGAUGUGAAAUCCCACGGCUCAACCGUGGAAGUGCAUUCGAAACUGCAAGGCUAGAGUUCUGGAGAGGAAGGUGGAAUGCUUGGUGUAGAGGUGAAAUUCGUAGAUAUUCGGAAGAACACCAGUGGCGAAGGCGACUUACUGGACACAUAUUGACGCUGAGGUGCGAAAGCGUGGGGAGCAAACAGG